CCUACGGGAGGCUGCAGUGGGGAAUAUUGCACAAUGGGGGAAACCCUGAUGCAGCGACGCCGCGUGAGUGAAGAAGUAUCUCGGUAUGUAAAGCUCUUUUAGCAGGGAAGAUAAUGACGAUACUUGACUAAGAAGCACCGGCUAAUGACGUGCCAGCAGCCGCGGCAAGACGAGGGGGGCGAGCGUUAUCCGGAUUUACUGGGUGGAAAUGGAGCGUAGGCGGCAGCACAAGUCUGGAGGGAAAUCACCGGGCGUAACCACGGAACUGCCUUGGAAACUGUGCGGCUGGAGUGCAGGAGGGGUAGGCGGAAUGUAUGGUGUAGCGGUGAAAUGCGUAGAGAUUAGGAGGAACACCGGUGGCGAAGGCAGCUUACUGGACUGUAACUGACGUUGAGGCACGAAAGCGUGGGGAGCAAACAGGAUUAGAUACCCCAGUAGUC
rnacentral:rRNA from 1 species